rnacentral:tRNA from 1 species
UCCCUUAUGGUCUAGUGGUUAAGACUCUGAAUUCCCAAUGCAGAGGGUGCCGGUUCAAUCCCUGGUCAGGGAA